GUAUCCUGAGUUCUUUGAGGACUUGUGAAAGAUGUCGUAAUAUGGCAUAUUUGGAAUCUCUCACAUGAGUGUGCUCAUCGUUCUCUCCACGACUCGUACUGAAUCUCGGGACGAGAUUCUUUUUAGGGGGGGAGGUUUGUCACGUCCCGAAAUCCAUAAUUGUGUGUUUUAAUCCUAAAACAUGCAAUUUCAGCUUCAUGUUCCAGUUUGGGUCACUGGAGCACUUCACUUUGAGUCAAUGAGGUGGGAGAAGGAAAAACUAAGAGAAAUAAAGGAGCUGGAAGCAAGUCUGGACUUUCCUCUAGGUAAAUGGGGCCCACUUGGGUGGAAAAUAUCUCUCUAUAAGUGGGCAACAGCUCUCUCUCCCCUCAAACUUGCCCAUACGUACUCCUCACCCACUCCACCAUAUAAGGCUUUUUGAGGAAGCAAGUUGGAGUUGGCUGUCUCUCUCACUCUCUCUCUUAGGCUCCCUUUUUCCCCUUUGGAUCCCUACCUCUGGGAGCAAGAUCAAGCAAGGAAGCAGCAGUUUUUCCUCUCUUCUCCAAGCCAUUUUCCGUCGUUUCCUCCUUCAACUGGCGGUCACCAACCUCAGCAAAGGACCUUAGUGAACGCCGAUCCGUCGAUCCCGGAGGCCGUGGGCGAUCGUGAGGCGUCCCACCUUUCUGAUUCAGGGCAGCAAGGCAAGCAUCGUUCAUAUUGCACCGUGUCUACUUGAAAAUUUAAUAUGUUAUCUACGCUUAUGUAUACAUUGCAUGUGUCGGGUACCGAGUUGGGUAGAACCUAUGCCGAUGCAUUAUCCCAUU